UACGGAGGAUGCGAGCGUUAUCCGGAUUUAUUGGGUUUAAAGGGUGCGUAGGCGGGAUGCCAAGUCAGCGGUAAAAAUGCGGUGCUCAACGCCGUCGAGCCGUUGAAACUGGCGUUCUUGAGUGGGCGAGAAGUAUGCGGAAUGCGUGGUGUAGCAGUGAAAUGCAUAGAUAUCACGCAGAACUCCGAUUGCGAAGGCAGCAUACCGGCGCCCUACUGACGCUGAGGCACGAAAGCGUGGGUAUCGAACAGG
rnacentral:rRNA from 1 species